AUUGAACGCUGGCGGCAUGCCUAACACAUGCAAGUCGAACGGCAGCACAGCAGUAGCAAUACUGUGGGUGGCGAGUGGCGGACGGGUGAGGAAUACGUCGGAAUCUGCCCAGUCGUGGGGGAUAACUAGCCGAAAGGUUAGCUAAUACCGCAUACGACCGAGAGGUGAAAGCGGGGACCGCAAGGCCUCGCGCGAUUGGAUGAGCCGACGUCGGAUUAGCUAGUUGGCGGGGUAAAGGCCCACCAAGGCGACGAUCCGUAGCUGGUCUGAGAGGAUGAUCAGCCACACUGGAACUGAGACACGGUCCAGACUCCUACGGGAGGCAGCAGUGGGGAAUAUUGGACAAUGGGCGCAAGCCUGAUCCAGCAAUGCCGCGUGUGUGAAGAAGGCCUUCGGUUGUAAGACGACUUUAUUCAGGACGAAAAGACGUU
rnacentral:rRNA from 1 species